rnacentral:rRNA from 1 species
UCCUACGGGAGGCAGCAGUGGGGAAUCUUGCACAAUGGGGGAAACCCUGAUGCAGCGACGCCGCGUGAGGGAAGAAGGCUUUCGGGUUGUAAACCUCUUUCAGGAGGGACGAAGCUACUCGGGUUAAUAGCCCAGAGGGUGACGGUACCUCCAGAAGAAGCCCCGGCUAACUACGUGCCAGCAGCCGCGGUAAUACGUAGGGGGCAAGCGUUGUCCGGAUUUAUUGGGCGUAAAGAGCGUGUAGGCGGCCAGGUAGGUCCGUUGUGAAAACUCGAGGCUCAACCUCGAGACGCCGAUGGAAACCCCCUGGCUAGAGUCCGGAAGAGGAGAGUGGAAUUCCUGGUGUAGCGGUGAAAUGCGCAGAUAUCAGGAAGAACACCCGUGGCUAAGGCGGCUCUCUAGUACGGUACUGACGCUGAGACGCGAAAGCGUGGGGAGCGAACAGGAUUAGAUACCCUGGUAGUCCACGCCGUAAACGAUGGGUGCUAGGUGUGGGGGGUGUCGACUCCCUCCGUGCCGAAGCUAACGCGUUAAAUAUGCCGCCUGGGGAGUACAGUCGCAAGGCUGAAACUCAAAGGAAUUGACGGGGGCCCGCACAAGCGGUGGAGCAUGUGGUUCAAUUCGACGCAACGCGAAGAACCUUACCUGGGCUCGAAAUGCUAUGGACCGUCUGUGAAAGCAGAUUUUCCCCUUAAAAGGACCGUAGUAUAGGUGCUGCAUGGCUGUCGUCAGCUCGUGUCGUGAGAUGUUGGGUUAAGUCCCGCAACGAGCGCAACCCUUGUCCUGUGUUGCCAUCAUUCAGUUGGGAACUCGCAGGAGACCGCCAGCGAUAAGCUGGGAGGAAGGUGGGGAUGACGUCAAGUCCUCAUGGCCUUUAUGUCCAGGGCUACACACGUGCUACAAUGGCCGGUACAAACCCGAGCAAACCCGCGAGGGGGAACCAAUUGGAAAAAAUCGGUUUCAGUUCGGAUUGAAGGCUGAAAAUUGCCUUCACGAAGUCGGAGUUGCUAGUAAUCGCGAAUCAACAACGUCCCGGUGAAUACGUUCCCGGGCCUUGUACACACC